GACGAACGCUGGCGGCGUGCUUAACACAUGCCAGUCGAACGGAAAGGCCCUGCUUUUGUGGGGUGCUCGAGUGGCGAACGGGUGAGUAACACGUGAGUAACCUGCCCUUGACUUUGGGAUAACUUCAGGAAACUGGGGCUAAUACCGGAUAGGAGCUCCUGCUGCAUGGUGGGGGUUGGAAAGUUUCGGCGGUUGGGGAUGGACUCGCGGCUUAUCAGCUUGUUGGUGGGGUAGUGGCUUACCAAGGCUUUGACGGGUAGCCGGCCUGAGAGGGUAACCGGCCACAUUGGGACUGAGAUGCGGCCCAGACUCCUACGGGAGGCAGCAGUGGGGAAUAUUGCACAAUGGGCGGAAGCCUGAUGCAGCAACGCCGCGUGCGGGAUGACGGCCUUCGGGUUGUAAACCGCUUUCGCCUGUGACGAAGCGUGAGUGACGGUAAUGGGUAAAGAAGCACCGGCUAACUACGUG
rnacentral:rRNA from 1 species